AGGGAUUGCCUCAGUAACGGCGAGUGAAGCGGCAACAGCUCAAAUUUGAAAUCUGGCUCCUUCGGGGCCCGAGUUGUAAUUUGCAGAGGAUGCGUCGGGUACGGGUGCCUUCCGAGUUCCCUGGAACGGGACGCCAUAGAGGGUGAGAGCCCCGUCUGGUAGGACACCCAGCCCGUGUGACGCUCCCUCGACGAGUCGAGUAGUUUGGGAAUGCUGCUCUAACGGGAGGUAUACUCCUUCCAAGGCUAAAUACCGGCUGGAGACCGAUAGCGCACAAGUAGAGUGAUCGAAAGAUGAAAAGCACUUUGAAAAGAGAGUCAAACAGCACGUGAAAUUGUUAAAAGGGAAGCGCUCGCUACCAGACUUGGGUUCGGCGGUUCAACCGGGGCCACGCCCCGGGGCAUUCCGCCGGCCCAGGCCAGCAUCAGCUUUCCGUCGGGGGUAAAGGCGUCGGGAAUGUGGCUCCCCUUCGGGGGAGUGUUAUAGCCCGUCGUGUCAUACCCUUCGGGGGGCUGAGGUACGCGCUUCUGCAAGGAUGCUGGCGUAAUGGUAGCUAGUGACCCGUCUUGAAACCGGGACA
rnacentral:rRNA from 1 species